UGGGAAGAAGGGCCUCUCCUUGCCUGGGAAGGUAGAACUGGUUCCCGUGGUCAUUGUCAAUGCUGACUCGGAUGACUCGAGCCUCUGAUCCCUGCUGCCCCGGUCCUGAUUUCCCCCAGGGCAGGAGCCCUGUCCGUCUGGAUCACGGUGGAGUCUCCUGGCCCACUGCCUGGCACACAGGAGGUGCUGAAUUCAGAGCUAGGGGUUCCUUGACCUCUCAUCUUGAUUUGAGACCUUCAU